GACGAACGCUGGCGGCGUGCUUAACACAUGCAAGUCGAACGGAAAGGCCCUGCUUUUGUGGGGUGAUCGAGUGGCGAACGGGUGAGUAACACGUGAGUAACCUACCCUUGACUUUGGGAUAACUUCAGGAAACUGGGGCUAAUACCGGAUAGGAGCUCCUGCUGCAUGGUGGGGGUUGGAAAGUUUCGGCGGUUGGGGAUGGACUCGCGGCUUAUCAGCUUGUUGGUGGGGUAGUGGCUUACCAAGGCUUUGACGGGUAGCCGGCCUGAGAGGGUGACCGGCCACAUUGGGACUGAGAUACGGCCCAGACUCCUACGGGAGGCAGCAGUGGGGAAUAUUGCACAAUGGGCGGAAGCCUGAUGCAGCAACGCCGCGUGCGGGAUGACGGCCUUCGGGUUGUAAACCGCUUUCGCCUGUGACGAAGCGUGAGUGACGGUAAUGGGUAAAGAAGCACCGGCUAACUACGUG
rnacentral:rRNA from 1 species